AGUGAACGCUGGCGGUAGACCUAACACAUGCAAGUCGAACGGCAGCACAGUAAGAGCUUGCUCUUACGGGUGGCGAGUGGCGGACGGGUGAGGAAUACAUCGGAAUCUACUUUUUCGUGGGGGAUAACGUAGGGAAACUUACGCUAAUACCGCAUACGACCUACGGGUGAAAGCAGGGGAUCUUCGGACCUUGCGCGAUUGAAUUAGCCGAUGUCGGAUUAGCUAGUUGGCGGGGUAAAGGCCCACCAAGGCGACGAUCCGUAGCUGGUCUGAGAGGAUGAUCAGCCACACUGGAACUGAGACACGGUCCAGACUCCUACGGGAGGCAGCAGUGGGGAAUAUUGCACAAUGGGCGCAAGCCUGAUCCAGCCAUACCGCGUGGGUGAAGAAGGCCUUCGGGUUGUAAAGCCCUUUUGUUGGGAAAGAAAAGCAGCAGGUUAAUACCCCGCUGUUCUGACGGUACCCAAAGAAUAAGCACCGGCUAACUUCGUG
rnacentral:rRNA from 1 species